GUGAAUCAUCAAAUUUUUGAACGCAAAUUGCGCUUCCUGGUAUCCCGGGAAGUAUGCCUGUUUGAGGGUAAGUAUUAACAAAAUAUCGGUUUGGUUGCAAAUUGUGAUGUUUCCGGAGUUUGGGAUUAUAUUAACUUUUUUGGUUAAGGGGCUUAAAAUUGCCCUUUUUUGCGCAUGUUUAGACGUACAUAAAUUUUUUUUUAUUAGUUUAUUGUUUAUGCCAAAAUUAUAUUAGAUGUGAUCAUAUGAUU
rnacentral:misc_RNA from 1 species